AGCCGCAGUCACGACUUAAGCUGCAGCCGUAGCAACGCUGGGUCCUUAACCCACUGUGCAGGGCCGGACAUCGAACCAGCAUCCCAGUGCUCCCGAUGUGCUGCUGAUGCUGUUGCACUGUGGUAGACACACCUUCUCUCUCUCUCUCUCUCUCUUUUUUUUUUUUUUGCUUUUUAUGGCCGCAUCUGUGGCACAUGGAUGUUCCCAGGCUAGGGGAGCGGCCCCAGAAAAGGCAAAAAACAAAACAAACAAACAAACAAAAGAAUGAUUCUCCAGUCAAACUUUUCCACCUCGGCAAAGUAUAGAAGCAUCUCUCCGGUUGUACAACAAAAUCUUAGGACUUAUUCUUGUUUACUUCAUUUUACUCCCAUCCUCACCAAAUAAUCCAUCAGCAGAUCCUUCUAAUUCCACCCCCUACACACGUAUCACAUUCAAACCCCGCUGUCCACACUUCCUAAGUCACCUGCAGCAGCAGCCUCUCAGCGUUUCUCUGCCUCCAUCCCAGACAGCGGAGAGGCGGCCACGGGAGACGGGAGGGGGUCUUGUCACAACCAGCACCUGCCCAUGCACCGCAAGCAGAACUCAAACUCCCCUGGGACCCUGAAAGUCCCGAGAGUCCUGACGGGCUGCUCUCCUGGCCCAGACCCUGAGGCCUGGCCAGUCUGUGGGCCUCUGUGCAUCCUGCUUCCUCAGCUGGAAACCUCUCCCGCAGUUCUCUGCACAGGUGGCACCUUUCAACCUUCUGGCCCCAGGUCAGAUGUGACCACCUCAGAAAGGACACCCCACUUACUAGGGACAGACUCACCCUCUUUAUUUCUUUGUGGUAUUUGCUACAAUAUGCGAUGCUCUUGGUUUUUGUGGGUUUCUUUGGGGGGGGGCUGUGACUAUAGCAUGUGGAAGCCCCAGGGUCAGGGAUCGAACCCAAGCCACAGCCGUGACAAUGCUGGAUGCCUAACCUGCUGAGCCCCCAGGGAAGUCCACCUCUCAUUUUCACCUGUUUGUUUACUUCUUAAUUUUCUGCAUUCUCAUCAGAACCUGAGCUUCACGAGGGCACCGGCUGUCCCUACCUUGUUUACUGCUGUAGCCCCAGGAGCUUGUGGAGGACACUUAGGCUCAGAGCGGUUAAACAACCGGCUCAGAGCCCCAUAGCUGGAAGAAGUGGAGUUAGGAUCUGAACUUGGAUUUUUCUAACUACAAAGCCCAGAGUCUUCCCAAGAAGCUCCUCCUGCUUUGUGUCUAGAGUCGCAAUUAGGCAGUUCGGCUACGUGUACUUCCUGUGCUUCUGGGGAAAGAAGCCACGUGUUUCCCUCAUUCAUUCCUUUCUAAUCAGCCACAGCCAGAAAUUAUUACGCGUUCCCUGCUGUGUGGCCAUUGGGCAUUGACCCCUGCAGCUCCACUUCCUCAUCCGCAUAAGGGGAUUAAUACUGGAACAUACUGGGUCGCAUACAUGACAAUUACAUGAUUAAUGUUUUUAAGUGCCUUCAAACACAGGAAGGCUUACACAAUAUCUGCUAAGGAAAUACAAGACAUGUGCUGGGUGCCUCCUGUCUACCAGCACUGUGAUGAGGGGGGUGCAAGAAGACAGGACGCGGCUUCCAGGCGCCUCCAUCCAACACAUGCACAACGAGGGUGUUAAAGGCUGAGAAUGCCUGUCGGGGGGAGGAGCCUCAAUGUCCAUCGACAGAUGGCUGGAUCAAGCAGAUGUGGUACAUAUACACAGUGGAAUACUACUCAGCCAUAAAAAAGAAAGAAAUCAUGCCAUUUGCAGCCACACAGAUGGACCUAGAGAUGAUGGUACUAAGUGAAGUACUCAAAGACAAAGACAAGUACCGUGUGACAUCACGUACAGGUGGCCUCUAAAAUACGGCACGACUGAGCCUUUCUACAAAGCAAACACAGACUCACAGACACAGACAACAGACUUGCGGUUGCCAAGAGGGGAGGAGGGCUGAGAGUGGGAAGGACUGGAAGCUUGGGGCUGGCAGGUGCAAACUAUUAAUAUACAGGAUGGAUAAACAAUAGGUCCACCUGUACCGCACAGGGAACUGACUCCAUACUCUGUACUAGCCUAUAAUGCAAAAGCAUAGAAAAAGAAUGUGUGUGUGUAACCGCUCACUUUGCUGUACAGCAGAAACUAAUACAACAUCGUACCUCAACUAUAUGUCAAUACGAUGAAUGAAAAAAAAAUUUUUUAAAUGCCUGUAGAGCAGUAAGAGUAAAAACAGGCGUUAGUGACUGUGGACCACAUGCCAGGCUCUGUCCUAAACCCUUUCGCGAACUCAUUAAUCCAUCCUUGUCUCCUCCUAGGGGGUGGAGGCAUUAUAAGCCCCCUUUUAGUGAUGAGGAAGCCGAGCUUACAGACUGCCCCGAGUUAGGAGGUCAAAAGCGGGCCGGGAACCGCGGCCCUCGCUUCGGAGUUUAUGCUGUCAACCCCUGUGCCUUACAGCGUGGUUGUGACAAUAACACCUGUGCUGUCGCAUACCACGUAAGCCCUUGCUUAACCGCAAGUAAGAGAAGCAGAACGCAAGCCUGCGGGUAUACGAAACAUGUACAUUAUGUUGUUUAAACAAAAAGAAGCAGUUAAUGCAACGGUUCUCAUCAAGGUUUCGACUGAAGCAAGAAUGAACCAUUAGCAAAACCUUCCGAACGUCAUUUCUGGAGUUCCCGCAAUGGCACCGUGGUUAAGAAUCCCACUGCAGAGGCUCAGGUCACUGUGGACGUGCAGGCUUGAUCCCCAGCCCCGCACAGCAGGUGAAAGGACCUGGCGUCGCCGUGGCUGAGGCGUAAGUUGCAUCUGUGACUCGGAACGGAUCCCGGGCCCGGGAAUGUCCAGAUGCUGUGGGUGUGGCCAUUAAAAAAAAAAAGUUACCGCCACCGAGAAAAUCUAACGAAUGAGUUCUCUCUCUAACCACUACACUUAUAGAAAAAGCCUACCUUUAAAAUGUAUACAUACUGCGGAUGGUAAAUCAAAUUUAUAUUAUAAAAUGCCAUGGAAAUGAGAUUCGAUCUGCACAUUGCAAAUAAGUCUAUUACAGUGUGUAGGGAAGAAGAAAACAUUCUAUCAUACAAAUAUAAGGGGGA
rnacentral:lncRNA from 1 species